ensembl:lncRNA novel transcript
UUUUUUUUUUUUUUUUUUUUUGAGACGGAGUCUCACUCUGUCGCCCAGGCUGGAGUGCAGUGGCACUAUCUCGGCUCACUGCAACCUCUGCCUCCCAGGUUCAAGUGAUUCUCCUGCCUCAGCCUCCCAAGUAGCUGGGAUUACAGGCGCAUGCCACCGCCUUGGCCAACAUGGUGAAACCCCGCCUCUACUAAAAAUACAAAAAUUAGUUGGCCAUGGUGGCAAGCACCUGUAAUCCCAGCUACUUGGUAGGCUGAGGCAGGAGAAUCUCUUGAACCUGGAAGGCAGAUGUUGCAGUGAGCCAAGAUCACACCAUUGCACUCCAGCCUGGGCAACAGAGCGAGACUCAGUCUCAAAACAAAACAAAACACCAACAAAACAGAAUGCAUCUGCUGCUGGUGUGGAUCUUUGGCAGUUAAGCUCUACAGUGAAGCUACUGAGAUGGGUCCACUUCCUCCACAUGUGAUAAGACCUUGAUCCACGCAGAAGCCUUCACUUAGAGACGGAGAGUUUGCUUAGAUGGGAAGUUCCAGCUCUGAUUGUUUACUUUUCAACAACAUAAUUUUCUUGAGUCUUACCUUUGUAAAAUAGCUGUGCUUUAUGUUUUCUUCUCAAUUCUUGUGUGAAAUUAUUUUUUAUUGUCUUAAUAAAAUACAAACAAAAAAAGACCCCUGGAUUGUUGAGAGAGCCAUAUCAUAUAAAGUUAAGUGGAUGCUAGCAAUGGUCCCUUGAACUCAGGCAAUUUAGUUGAGAUAAAUAAUCCAUCUGAAGACGAGCAAACAUGUUUCCUUCCAUCCUUUCUGGACCCCUUGAUUUCUAGGCACUUCUCUGCUGGUCUGGGGUUGGAUUCUUCAUCUGUGAAGUGAUGCUUCUAGAGUUCUCUAUUUGUUUCCAAAGCAAGAAGAAAUGAUGUCUCCAGUACAGUCUUUCAAGAGCUAUGGCUUUAUCCAACACAUAUGUUGAUCUCAAUUAUGAGUCCAUGGGGAGGAAGCAUUCAGGAGGCUGAUGACUUGAGUUGAGGGGAAAUGUGCCAUUACCAGGAUUGGUAAAGAUGUGGCUGUUGACUUCACCUGGGAGGAGUGGAAGGACCUGGAUGACACUCAGAAGAUCCUGUACAGGGACAUAAUGCUGGAGACCUGCUGGUAUCCUUGGGACAUUGCAUGGUGAGACCUGAGGCACUUUUUAUUUGGAACAAGGAGCAGAGCCAUAAGUGGUAGAAACAAUGCCUGAUAUGGUUUGGCUGUGUCCCCACCCCAAAUCUCACCUUGAAUUGUAAUCCCCAUAAUCUCAUUAUCCCCAUGUGUCAAGGGAGGGACCAGUUGGAGGUAAUUGAAUCAUGGGGGUGGUUUUUCCCAUGCUGUUCUUGUGAUAGUAAGUGAGAGCUCACAAGAUCUGAUGGUUUUAUAAGUGUUUGGCAAGUUCUUCCUUUGGUCAUUCUCUCUCCUGCUUGUAAGGAAGGAACCUGCACCCCUUCACCUUCCACCACGAUUGUUAAGUUUCCUGAUGCCUUCCCAGCCAUGUAGAACUAUGAGCCAAUUAAACCUGUUUUCUUUGUAAAUUACCUAGUCUCAGGUAUUUCCUUAUAGCAAUUUGACAACAGACUAAUACACUGCCAAAACCAAGUCUCCCAGGUAUCCACCCAGUUGAUGACCUAAUUAAGAGGAGCCAAGAAAUUCACAGCAGACAUUUGUGGCAAAUUGCAAUCACACACCCACAUAUCAAGUAAGGAGAAAGUUGAAUUAUAAAAGGAAACGUAUAAUUUUAGCACAAACUAUAUCUUAAAUCUGAAUGUAAAUAAUAGAAACAGUUUGGUAAUGAGGCAUGAGGAGUUAACUGUACAUCAGAACAUGCUUUGCCUUAGUGAUCCUGAUGCAAUGGAGUCUUGAGAGAAUCUAGAUGCCUGUAAUUUAACUGUGAAAUGUAUCAGAAAUCAUGAGCAUUUCAGACAGCAUCAUAAAAUUCAAGCUGACAGCAAUAUUUUGAAUACAGUAGACAUUGCUUUAACAUGCAGGCAAUAUUAUGGACACAUGAUCAUAGUCAUAUGGGAGAGACCUCAUGUGGGUAUAAAGAAUAUGGAAAAUCUUGUGAUCAGUCAGCUCUCAUGUCCCAAGAGAUAUGUAAGUAGCAAAACUUUUCAGGAGAAAUCAAGACUCAGCUCAUUUCAGAGAAUACACAUGGGAGAAAAUCAUAUGUGUGUAAAGAAUGUGUGAAAACCUUUCAACUCAAGUCAAAUCUCAGAAAAUAUCAGGAUAUUCACACAAUCGAAAAAUUCUAUGAAUGUAAUGAGUGUGGGAAAACCUCCUGUUUGAAGGCAGUCCCCACUAGACAUCAGAUAACUCACAGGGGAAAAACCUUAUGAAUCUAGUGAAUAUGGAAAAGCUUUUCACUGGAAGUCUCACUUCAGGUUGCAUCCACUCAUUAACACAGGGGAAAUAUCCUAUAAAUGUCAUGAAUGUCAAAAAAAUUUUUCACUGGAAUGCAAACCUCAGGAAGUCUCAGGCUAUUCACAGGGGAAAAAUCUUAUGAAUGUAAGGAAUGUGGGAAAACCUCCUGUGAGAAGAGAGGCCUCGCCACACUUCAGAGAACUCACAGACGCAAUAAACCUUAUGAAUGAGAUGAAAGUGGAGGCUGGACGCCAAGCCUCAGGAAUCCUCAUGGCAUCCAAACUUGGAAAAAACCUAUGAAUGUCAUGAAUGUUGGAAAAUCUUUUGGCCAGAAGUCACACCUCAGCAGACAUCAGAGAACUCUCACUGGGGAGUAAAAACCUAUGAACAUCGUGAGUAUUGGAGAACACUUUGAACUGGUUACUCAUCACUAGACACAGAAAACUCACAAGUGGAAACCCUUAUGAAUGUAAUAAACAUGGAAAAGCCUUUUGCCAGACAUUAUGACUUAGCAGGCAUUAGAGAAGUUAACACAGGGGUGCAAUAAUGUAUGUCAGAUCCUGACUGUUCUCCGAAAAUUAUUCUCUAUGCUUCAGGACACACACUUUGCAUUUCUCAGUCUGCUAUUUUUGUGGUAUGAUUAGUACCAUGCAAAACUGAGAUUUUUAUAGGGAAUAUGGUCAGAAAUGAUGAACAUUAUUUAGAGCCUUGGCAACAAAUACCGUUUCUGUGGUCCUCCACAAUUGCUUAUGCCUUGUGGGGAUGAAGGUCAGAUGACCCCAAAGUUGACCUUGGGAGCCACUAGUGGUAACUGAUCACUAAGAUUUAAGAAAGAAGAAAUGUAUUGAAGAGAGGAGAGGUCUUCCCACCUCUAUUCCCAAGAACUUUCCCUUUGUACCUUACGUAAGUGAGAGAAUACAUACCUAAUCUUUUGAAGCAUCAGAUGUGUGAUCUGUUUUGGUUACAACACAAACAGCCUACUGCAGCUAAUUCACUUUCAGAGCUUCCUGAGAGAAUUUGACAGUCCUUGUAUAUAACAAAAUUCACAUAGGAAAGAAUCUUGUGUUGUUGCUUUUAACAGCAAUUUAGUUUAUUAAAAAACAAAACAGAAAAACACUGCAGCACAUUGGAAAUGCCAGAUCAGGCAGGCCAUCUUAUUGAUCACUGAGAAUAAAGUAAAUCUUUAUAAAUAUCAAAAAGAAAAAAAUUAGGCAAAUAAAAGAUUGUAUAGAGGCAUUCUUUUUAAAUAUGAUUUUGUUUCAUUAUCUAUAUAAUAAAUAUAAGUAAAACCACUUCAAUUCAGUUAAACUCAGCACACAUUAAUCAAUAGAUGCUUAUUCGGAAACAUUAGAUAAAGUAAUCCCAAUUUGUAUAAUUCUAAGAUCAUGUGCACAUGUACCCUAAAACUUAAAGUAUAAUAAUAAAAAAAUAAAU